CAAAAUCCACCAGUUUCACUCAUCAGGUAAAAAAAAAAUUAGUUUGUUUGCAGGGCACCAGACCAGAAAUAUGUAUUUCCCAGCAGCAUCCUUGGUUCAGCGUUGUGGGCGCAGCAUCGGUGGCACCUCCGGGGCCCGAGGCACCGCGCGGCCCGUGGGGCAUCCCAGAUAGAGAGAGAGGCUGGCCUGGCAUCAGCAGGUAGGGACGCUCUCUCCUCCAGUGAAAAGAUCAACGAGCUCUUUAUUUUUUUUUUCUUUACAGUUUUAUUUACAAAAUGUAUUAAAACUCUUUGUACAACACCUCAUUAAAAUGAGGCUCAGUAAUUGAUGCCCACACAUGCAGUUUAUGCUUUUACAGCCAUUAGUUUGCUUGGCAAUUUUUCUGCUCACUGAAGUGCAGUUUCAACGACCAAAAAUAGGAACUUAAAUUACAAAAAAAAAAAAGAAAAAAAAAGAGAAAAAAAAAAACAGAAAAAGAAAAAGUAAAGAACCCCAAAAUCCCCCAAAGCAAAACAAAUGAAAAAAAUACACCGAAACAACUCAUUGUGAGACUACUGCCGAACUUCCGAUAGCUUGAAGUUGGUAGCCGGAAUUGGUAAGCACUCAACACGUUUUGUUUUAGCUUUACAUGCAAGUUUAAAAAAUAUCGAACCAUUUACCAAACUCCCUUCACUGGUGUGAAGCCUCCACUCUUAAAAAUUGAUUUGCUAAACAUACAUCUUUUAUACAGCUUUUAAGAAAAAUGUUUGUUUUAAAUACAACUCAUAGCCGCGCAGCUUUAGCUCGCCCUUGCUGGGGAUGUGAUCGCGUUCAGAAGUUGAAAAAAAAAAUCACAGUUGCAUGAAAAGAAAAUGAAAACAAACCAACGAUUUUUUGUCAGUAUCGUGUUAAAAACUCGAACAAUAAAUUAUUCUCCUAUGAGCUUUUAAAAUGAUUUUAUAUUACAUUUUGUUGGAAUUACUUAUUUUUAACAAGGCUUUCCCCAUAUGAUCUUUUUCUUUUUUUUUUUUUUAAACUCCUAUUAAAAGUUCAGAUCUAUCAUCAGCAAACUAAACGCCUAAGGGUCAGACUGGUUUAAAUGAGUUUCUUUUUCAUUGUAUGUUACUGAUGAAAUAAAACUCUAUAGUAAACUACAGAAAAUACAUAUUGUCGAUUAGAGGUAAUUAGUAUGCAGAUAUUCCAUCGAGCAUUUCCCAUGUGACUGACAAUAUGUUUAAAGGUUGGUUGGUUGUUUUUUUUUUUGUCUUUUGCUUUUUUUUUUUUUUAAAGAUGAAGUUAAGUAGUUUCCAGGCAGAGGUUCAAGGCUGAAACACUGCUGCUGUCUAAGACGCUGGAUGUGAGUAAUAGUGAGCCCCUACCUGUAGCAGUGUCGGCUGGAGCGCGGCGUCCUCUUUCCGGAGGGGGCCAGGACAGGAGCACCCCCUCGCCGGUAGCCGUGAAACGAGAGUUGGCAGGAGCUGAUAUAAUAUAACAGUACUAGCAGGAGUCAUGUUAGAUCGCUUAAUAUUACUCUGGAACUGCAGCUCUAAUUUGAGUUACUAUCCUCUUCCCUUACUUCUGUUUUACAGUGACGGUUCCCGAGAAGCGUUAGCUGAGCACAGUGCCGGCUGUGAAAGAACUGGGGCGAAGCGGAAGCAGGCCUGGGAAAAACUAACCUGCGCUUCUCUUGCUUCAUCGCUUGAUAUUAAACAGUGAAUUAAAAUGCAAAUGCACAGCAAGAAAAGAGAUAUAUAUGGUCUGAACCUAAACAGCAAGUAGCUUCUUUUUUUUUUAAAAGCCACCCAAUGUGGUUUUAAUAAAGCACCUGUAGGUAUGCCUGAUGAUAGAAAAAAAAAAAAAAAGAAAAAAGGAACGCAAUAUUUUCUGCCCGCACUUUAGCUACCUUGUCAAGAAAUUAAUUUACUGAUCUGGAAGCAAGACAUGCAGUUCCACAAAUUACUUUCUUUUGGAUUUACAGACUCACAGUCAUUGGCCUUAACUGGUUUUAAUGCACAGAUUCUCUUCUUCAGGUGUUACACCUUUUACUGCUAUACAGAAUUGCUCAAAUUAGCUGGAGAGUGCCAAGUGGCUUGGGGGAAAAAAAAAAAUCACACCACUGGAAAUUAAUCCCGAGACCUCUUAAUGUGCAAGCUGCUUCCCCGCGCAGCGGGAUUUGAGCAACCUGAUGGUGGGAGAAGGCGUGACGCCUCUGCAGCCCCUGGUCCAGUGCUUCAGCCACGGGGAUGCAAUGUGAGCUGGUGCGAGAUGGACGACUCGGCUCCCAGAUUCCUGAGUUAGGUAAAUACACUGAAAAGUGAGCCUGGCUGCUGGUACAUUUUCCGAUUGCUCCUCUCUGAGUAGCUGUCUAGCCUUGCUCAAUUUAACAGUCAGAGUCAGGCAUGGCUUUGGCCAAGAUCCUGAUGGAGGUGCGGAAGGGCAUGUCUGGAUCGUGGUAUUUCUCUGGCCGAGCACUCAGCAGUGCACGUUGACUGCGAAUCCUCCGUACGGCACCUCGGCCUAGAACUCAGCCCGUCCCGAGGAAGGCAGCGCCCGCGCCCUGCCCACGCCGGCAGGUCGGAGGCUACCAAGUGCUCCGUUUGCUAGUAAAGAGGGAAGCGUAGGGCUCUUAUGGGAGCGAGAGCUGUUGGAAGAGGAUUUUUUCAUAGCUUGCCCUUGCUCUGUUUGUUUGAGGGGGGAUAUUUUUAAAUGCCUUAGAGGCAGAGGAGCAGAGAGACUAAACGACUCGCCCGGGUCCCACUGGAAGGCCGUGUCCCAGCCACCCACCCGCCUCCCCAGCCAGCUGUGCUGCCGCAGAAAUGGCUCAGAGGAUCACUUGCCCAGUUGCUGGGUCUCUCUCUCAAAAGACUUCCAUCUCCUCAUCUUUUUCCUGGGAUAAUUUUGUGCUUUCCAGCUGCUUUUUUAAUUAGGUUGCUGUUGUUGGGCUGCACAGGAUAUCCUAUGAGGUCCUUGGCCCUUUCCCGGGUGGUUGCAGCUGUUUUUCCUCUGCCUUUAAUUUAUGACAGGAUUCUUUUUCAUCUCCCCCCGUGUGGUUUCCAGCCCAGCUCUCUAGUAUUUUGGUUGCUUUUAUCAAAGUAAAAUGUUCAGAGGUUUCAGACCUCGUGCUCUCUGUUGCACUUGGUAUGCCCAAGAAAACAAGCUGAGGCAAUUAGGAUUGGGAUGUCAGUGCUUUGGAGGUUGCAAGAUCGUAUUCUUGGGCAGAAGCUUGCAGUGUUUUUCUUCCUCACCAUAAUGGAAAGAUUUUUUUUGUUUGUUUGCUUGUGUUUUCCUCCAGCUGUAGUAGGUUUGGCUGAUCCAGGCUUAACUAUGUAAGGCUGGAUCUGUUGGGCAGCUUUACCGAACCCUGCUAAGAUUUUUUUUGCUGACAUCUACAAAUGACAGGAAGACUUGAGUCUAGAGAACUGGUACCAGGUGCCUCACACUUAGUAGUAUUUCCCCCAAUGGCAAAUUAAGCCGUUUGCUACGGUUGAUUUAUUUAAGAGAGGCGCGAUGUUAAGAAGAGCACUGCCCAUCUAUUCUCACAGGCUUCAUUUUAUCAGAGUCUGCUGCAAACAAGAUUUUACGCCUGGGACAGAGGUGGGUUUUAUCAGUGUUUCAGCAGUUUGGUUUCUCUGCUCCCCAGUUAGAAGCCCUUGCUCGGGUGCUGGAAGCAUUACCUUCCCCUCUUCAGCCAUCAGUUACUGCCAGAAAUCAAGCAGUGCGGUCUUUUUCUAAAUGCAACAUGGCACUAUCUCAAAGGGAACCUCCUCUUCCCUUUGCCUUGUGGCCCUGGGGCCUCCUCCCUGCUGCAUUUCAGCCCCUCUUGGCUCAGGAUACCAGCCCCAAAAGUCCUGCUGCACCCCGUGGUGCUGGUGGCUCCAGGUGACAGGAUGAUGCUGAUGGAUUGAACUGUUUUUUUAAAAACUAUGUGCCCUCACUCAUUAAAAUCUCACCCCUGAAUCUGGUUCCCAAACUUUGGGUUUGGCUUAAAAAUCCUGGCCAUGUCUCCCUCCAAACUCAGGAAUCACUACAGCACUUUGUCAUGAAGGUGAUCUUGCAUAAAAUACAGCAUCGCUUCCAGGCUGAGCAUGUUCCCCACGCUGGCGCGUGAGAUUGUCCCUCAGAAGCAAGAGCUGCUAUAUGCUCUUCGUAGAGCAUCUAUUACAUUUCUAUUUCAUUAUUAUAUUUUUCCACCUACACCAUUAAAGAAGGAACAUGAUGACGCAGGGCCCAUCUGCUCUCUCUUCUUCUCUUUGCGACAGCCUCACCCUGCCCGAGGGACUACUUGCCCUGCCUCCUCUCACCACAGCACCAGUUUCAGGUUAGUUGCAGCAAUUUUUAUCCCAAUUGAGAAAAACGGUGGCAUUAUGGUAUUUCUUUCUGGCCAGAAUGAGUUUGAAGUAGAAGAAAAGUAAAUUAAUCAUCAUAGUUCUUUAUCAGUCCUAAAUAUGAGAAGGUAUAACUUCUGCCCCUCUCAAUUUAUAAAUCACGACAGGUUUUAAUUUGAUUAAUGACCUUUUAGGUUCAUUUUCAUCAUUUCAUCUGCACCUAUAUAAAAUAGAUAACCUGAAAUCAGAUAUUUUUAUCUAGUGCCAUCACUCUAGCUUCUACUGGCUUCAGAAAGAGACCCAGCAGGCUGAAGUCCCACAUACAACUGCAAAAGCUGGCCAGGUUGCUCUUUUGGCAACCUGAUUCCAAUUACUGGCCAUCACAUUUACGUGCUGGUGUUGCAAACGGGACCUUUCCCUGAACAAAGCUAGACUGCGCAGAAAAGUCUGAGCAGCUUCUUGGAAAAGUGCUGUUGAUUUAUGAAAAGAACAUCCCGAUCUUGCCAGGAAAGGGCCAUUUUCAAGGAAUGAGUGAUGGGAUGUACUGUCGCUAGUAGCUCUGUGGCCCAGUGUUUGGGCUGGUCCUCACAAGUCACAGCAGGCGAUACAGAGACGAGCCAGUGACCGCUACAGGUGAGAUUUAGGAGCAAAAGGCACUCUGGGACUUGAAAAAUCUCACCGAAUAAUCCACAGACUUUUGUCAGCUGUGUGUAACCGGUAUUUGAGUGGCAUAAAGUCUCGGCAACACUGUAGUUAUGUUUAUUACUUGCAAUCAAUAAAGAUUUAAGUGGUGAUUGGAACAGCUUUGGAUAAUUCACAUCCCAUUCUAUGCUCUAAUGGAUGUACUAUAAAUGUUAUACCCAAAAAUGAUCAUUGCCAAGGAGAGCAAAUGAACGCGACAGACAGCACACUGUUCUCUCAAACCAGAUGAACCAUUGCUCAGAAUUAAUUUAGAAUUUUUAUACGCAAUCUUUCAGAAAGGGGAGCUGCAAAGAAAAUGUGCAACAAGUAAAGGCUCUUCGGAGCACUAAUUAACGGGCUUCCUCGGGAGUUGCGCACGGCGCAUGGGUCGCACUGAAUCUCCCAGGCAAUGGGGCGGCCCGAGGGCUGACCUAGGACCUUUCGCCACCUGGGUCUUACAGACUACAAACUGCAGGUGUUCCUUCGCCCAUCAUCAGCCGUUUUCUGAUGUUCCGUAGAAUAUUUGGCGUACAGGGUGCAGUGUGGCAUUUUCUCAGCACUGUUGCUUGCAGCACCUUGAGAGUCCACAUGUAGUUUUUCUGGGGGUAGAGGAUGAAGAAAUCACCCAUGAGCUUGAAUGAAGACCAGAAGAACAUCAGCAGUUGGAGCUUCUCUCUGGUCUCUAAAACAUCCUUUCUCCACUCUUGUCCAGGGCUGAGGCUCAGGAUAGCAGAAAACAAGCUGCAGAAGAGCUGAUCAGCACCUCAGCCUGGGGAGGGAUGCUCGGCUGGCUCAGGAGGAUGCCAACCACCAGGCAAGAGCUCCAACCACCGCAGCUCCACUGCUCUUUUGAGCAGUCCCCACGCAGGAGGGCUCAGUGGCUUCUGCAGUGCUACGCAGGCAGGACAUCUGCAUCCCCAGUGGCACCGGGGAGGGAUGUGUGCCAUCUCACCCAGGGGCAGAGUUCACUCAGUGAUGAAACAAAGAAAUUUAAGGCCAGUGGCAAUGGGGAUCCUUCUCAGAAGGCAGAUGGACGCUGGCUCCAAACAUACAGUGAACAUGGUUAACAAGAGCCCUGGCCAUUGCAAGCAGGUCUGGCUAGAAGGCUGAAGACACGAGCUCCCGAUGUGCUUAAAUCUACCUCUGCCACAAUGUGAAGUCCCACGUGGCCACUAACAUAACCCUUUUCAUUUUUUUUGCCUCAGUACAACAUCAGAUGCCAAAUGACUCUGGUUGGAGAAAUGCAGGCACACAUCACUAGGGAUGCGGUAUUUACGGCAAAGCUGUUUGUGUUUUAAUGUACCCUGGCACUGGCUGUUUGGGUACGUCAGGGGAGGCAAAAUCACAGCACCAAAGGCACUCCUGGGCUCCGGCUGUGUCACACAGCAGGGGCACAGAGCAGCUGUAAAUCUGGUCUAAUAUCUGGCUAGGCCAGGUUUAUUGCUGAUUUGUGGGAUGAGAGCAACAAAAAGCCACAGGAGGUUUCUGGCAAAUCCAGCCCUCUGAAGAUGGCAAGAUUAAUGAAGCGUGACGUCCGCCCUCCGAGUCCACCUGCGAUCCUCGCCGGGCUGCGCAGUCAGACCAAGAGCUGCAUCCCUGCAAAGGGCUCUUCACCCCUCCCAUCUAAAUCCCAGUGACGUGAAGGAGGCUUAAGUCCAUGGUGGUACCAGGUCUUGGUUAGUACAUUAUAAAGUCAGUUUUUUUGACUUGUUUUACUUUUUAUUCCUGUUAUUUUUACCUAAUCCCUUUAAUUUUGGAAUCUGACAUAUUUAGACCACUCUCACUUCCGCAGCAGGAAUUUUUCUCUUGUUUCUUCUGACUGUUUUUCUCUUGUUUCUAAUGACCAAAGCUGUCCUUGCUGGCUGGAGCAUCUGUGGGCUUGCUGACAAUAGCACAACCCAACCAACAACGUUGGCACAUCAAAGAGUUUAGACAUCAGAUGUUUGGGUUUGUAAAAUCCACCUCAUAGUGUCAGAGGAAAGGCAAGUGGACAAAGGCGCAAAGAAACAAGCACGUUCUUAAUUCAAAACGCUUCCUAAAAUCCUCUAGGGUAAAACUACUGAGAACACUGAAUUAAUUGUUCCUGUAGGAAUCACUGGCAAAUCCCCACUACCUUCAGGGGAAGCAGAGUGUGAAGCUUGUUGCAGGCAUGUGGGAAGUGUCACCUUUACCAUGCUCUGAGAGGUAAAUAUCUGAAGGGGGCAGAGAGAACGGCCCCGGACGACUGCACCAUUGCUUUGUGCCGAGAUGUCAGCCCCAAGCAUCCAGCACCGCAGAGAAACCCCUCAAAGGCACACAUCACCGAGCCGGCCCCUGCGGGCGCACGGCAGCACAGGGCACUGACAAAUGCAGAAAUCAAGCCCAGGCACUCUGCUUAAUUUGACAGGAUACCAUAAAAAUCUCACUAACAACCAUCUUGGAAUCGUUAAAAUAUAAAGAUAGAAACAAUCCAGGAAGAGAUACCAAAUCCAGCAUUAUUCUCUAGAGGGCAUUGCUUGAGGUUAAAGACCCAUCUAAAUCAAAUAAGGCACUUUAUUCCCCCAAGCUCUAUAAAUCCCAGCCUGAUCUGUAACUAUUGAAUGGACUUUUUGUCAGAUCUUGUUACUGAAAUAACUUCUGACUAGAUACAAAACCUGUGAGUGAAUGCAUUGUGCCAGUGCUCUGCUCUUUCCGAGAUCAGAUCUAUCUGCCUGUCAUAAUUUACCGAUUUAGCAAUGUCUCUGUGCCACAACUCCAUGUUUCGCUACGCACCCAUGCAUGAGGGAUGGGGAAGAUUUUGGGUGGCAAUGGGCUCAUUAUUAAAACCCGUUAUCAUUGUUUCAUGGCUAGAGUUACCUGGUACUUCAAGCAGGACCAAACAAAGCCCUGAAAAUAUCGGCAUAAAAACAUAUGGUCACUCAUUAUUCCAAUUUGUUACCUUCUGGCUCAAGAAGUCAUCUUCGGUAUUUCACACUGAACAUUUAAUAUUCAUGGAAAAAGCACCAGGCAUUUCUUCCGUAAGGAAUGAACGCUUGGUUACUCUUUGCUACUGUUUCAGACCUGUACCAUUUUUUCCCUGCCCUGUGUUACCAGCAGUUGCACAUCUAAAAGAUUUAACAUUUGAGGGACUGAAAUGGUUUAUGGGCGGGCAGAGGAAGGCAUAAAAGCAAAAGCCAUCUAGUUUGAAAAGACAAAGAGCUUUCAAAAUUAGAAGAUUAAAACUUGGCUCCUUAAGCCCCAUAUAUCCCCCAGCCACCUAAGAAAUACACUGCAUGUUGAUGGCUGGGAUAGUGCGCAGAGGCAUCAGGCGCAGCAAUAAAUCCCCCAGCAGAAGGACGUCGUUUUUCCUCAAUGGCAGAGCCAGAAGCAGUUCCCGUUGCUCAAGGCACAAGGCCCCGGGUGCCGGGGAGCAGCGCCCCGGGACUGCAGCUCCCCGGCUGCCAGCGCUGGCCGUGAGCGCAUCCGUGGCCACCGCCGACAGCUGGGCCGGGACCCUCCUUCAGGAGGUCACUGCACGUUUUGCCUCUUUUGUGCCUCUUGCUACUGAACAGUGCCAUGGGGUGACAAAAAUCUUAUCUAUGAGCUAGCACACAAAGCAGUUUUUAAAAAUUGAUUUUGCUGUGAUAUUGCCAGCAACAGGGCCAGCUGCUGUGGGAGAUGGAGACAGGCGGAGGCUUCUCCUGCCGUACUGGCAUGGGGUGUCAGCUUGCGAGGAUGCUUCUGCUCAAAGGGCAUUAGGGACCGCUGCACAGGCACACCGGCUGCCUGCCCAUCAGGGGAUGGGGUUUUUUUGGUUACUGCUGAGCAUUUAGUAGCUGCAAUAGUUCUCCGUAACAGAACUUUGUUCUAGUCUUCAUUACUGUGUUUUUCCAUAAAUAGUGUUCUUUUGGUCAGUUCAAGGCUUCUUGCCUUUUUUUUUUAAAGGCAGGUUGGAGCAACAACCAUAUCCUUGUGGAAUCUGUGGGGUUUUCCCCUGCCGUAACCAGACACAUCCAUCUUUCCCCCCGUCUUCUAUGAUUUAUUUUCCUCUUGGGACGGCUUCUUCUGCGACUCCCG